rnacentral:rRNA from 1 species
CCGGCGAUGUCCGAAUGGGGAAACCCAGUGCAAUUCGUUGCACUAUCGUUAACUGAAUACAUAGGUUAACGAGGCGAACCGGGGGAACUGAAACAUCUAAGUACCCCGAGGAAAAGAAAUCAACCGAGAUUCCCCCAGUAGCGGCGAGCGAACGGGGAGCAGCCCAGAGUCUGAAUCAGCUUGUGUGUUAGUGGAACGGUCUGGAAAGUCCGACGGUACAGGGUGAUAGUCCCGUACACCAAAAUGCACAGGCUGUGAACUCGAAGAGUAGGGCGGGACACGUGGUAUCCUGUCUGAAUAUGGGGGGACCAUCCUCCAAGGCUAAAUACUCCUGACUGACCGAUAGUGAACCAGUACCGUGAGGGAAAGGCGAAAAGAACCCCGGCGAGGGGAGUGAAAAAGAACCUGAAACCGUGUACGUACAAGCAGUGGGAGCACCUUCGGGUGUGACUGCGUACCUUUUGUAUAAUGGGUCAGCGACUUAUAUUCUGUAGCAAGGUUAACCGUAUAGGGGAGCCGCAGGGAAACCGAGUCUUAACUGGGCGUUAAGUUGCAGGGUAUAGACCCGAAACCCGGUGAUCUAGCCAUGGGCAGGUUGAAGGUUGGGUAACACUAACUGGAGGACCGAACCGACUAAUGUUGAAAAAUUAGCGGAUGACUUGUGGCUGGGGGUGAAAGGCCAAUCAAACCGGGAGAUAGCUGGUUCUCCCCGAAAGCUAUUUAGGUAGCGCCUCGUGAACUCAUCUUCGGGGGUAGAGCACUGUUUCGGCUAGGGGGUCAUCCCGACUUACCAACCCGAUGCAAACUACGAAUACCGAAGAAUGUUAUCACGGGAGACACACGGCGGGUGCUAACGUCCGUCGUGAAGAGGGAAACAACCCAGACCGCCAGCUAAGGUCCCAAAGUCAUGGUUAAGUGGGAAACGAUGUGGGAAGGCACAGACAGCCAGGAUGUUGGCUUAGAAGCAGCCAUCAUUUAAAGAAAGCGUAAUAGCUCACUGGUCGAGUCGGCCUGCGCGGAAGAUGUAACGGGGCUAAACCAUGCACCGAAGCUGCGGCAGCGACACUAUGUGUUGUUGGGUAGGGGAGCGUUCUGUAAGCCUGCGAAGGUGACCUGUGAGGGUUGCUGGAGGUAUCAGAAGUGCGAAUGCUGACAUAAGUAACGAUAAAGCGGGUGAAAAGCCCGCUCGCCGGAAGACCAAGGGUUCCUGUCCAACGUUAAUCGGGGCAGGGUGAGUCGACCCCUAAGGCGAGGCCGAAAGGCGUAGUCGAUGGGAAACAGGUUAAUAUUCCUGUACUUGGUGUUACUGCGAAGGGGGGACGGAGAAGGCUAUGUUAGCCGGGCGACGGUUGUCCCGGUUUAAGCAUGUAGGCUGAUUGUCCAGGCAAAUCCGGAUAAUCAAGGCUGAGGUGUGAUGACGAGGCACUACGGUGCUGAAGUAACAAAUGCCCUGCUUCCAGGAAAAGCCUCUAAGCAUCAGGUAACAUCAAAUCGUACCCCAAACCGACACAGGUGGUCAGGUAGAGAAUACCAAGGCGCUUGAGAGAACUCGGGUGAAGGAACUAGGCAAAAUGGUGCCGUAACUUCGGGAGAAGGCACGCUGGUGUGUAGGUGAAGUCCCUGCGGAUGGAGCUGAGACCAGUCGAAGAUACCAGCUGGCUGCAACUGUUUAUUAAAAACACAGCACUGUGCAAACACGAAAGUGGACGUAUACGGUGUGACGCCUGCCCGGUGCCGGAAGGUUAAUUGAUGGGGUUAUCCGUAAGGAGAAGCUCUUGAUCGAAGCCCCGGUAAACGGCGGCCGUAACUAUAACGGUCCUAAGGUAGCGAAAUUCCUUGUCGGGUAAGUUCCGACCUGCACGAAUGGCGUAAUGAUGGCCAGGCUGUCUCCACCCGAGACUCAGUGAAAUUGAACUCGCUGUGAAGAUGCAGUGUACCCGCGGCAAGACGGAAAGACCCCGUGAACCUUUACUAUAGCUUGACACUGAACAUUGAGCCUUGAUGUGUAGGAUAGGUGGGAGGCUUUGAAGCGUGGACGCCAGUCUGCGUGGAGCCAACCUUGAAAUACCACCCUUUAAUGUUUGAUGUUCUAACGUUGGCCCCUUACCGGGGUUGCGGACAGUGUCUGGUGGGUAGUUUGACUGGGGCGGUCUCCUCCCAAAGCGUAACGGAGGAGCACGAAGGUUAGCUAAUCCUGGUCGGACAUCAGGAGGUUAGUGCAAUGGCAUAAGCUAGCUUGACUGCGAGCGUGACGGCGCGAGCAGGUGCGAAAGCAGGUCAUAGUGAUCCGGUGGUUCUGAAUGGAAGGGCCAUCGCUCAACGGAUAAAAGGUACUCCGGGGAUAACAGGCUGAUACCGCCCAAGAGUUCAUAUCGACGGCGGUGUUUGGCACCUCGAUGUCGGCUCAUCACAUCCUGGGGCUGAAGUAGGUCCCAAGGGUAUGGCUGUUCGCCAUUUAAAGUGGUACGCGAGCUGGGUUUAGAACGUCGUGAGACAGUUCGGUCCCUAUCUGCCGUGGGCGCUGGAGAAUUGAGGGGGGCUGCUCCUAGUACGAGAGGACCGGAGUGGACGCAUCACUGGUGUUCGGGUUGUCAUGCCAAUGGCACUGCCCGGUAGCUAAAUGCGGAAGAGAUAAGUGCUGAAAGCAUCUAAGCACGAAACUUGCCCCGAGAUGAGUUCUCCCUGAGACUUUAAGUCUCCUGAAGGAACGUUGAAGACGACGACGUUGAUAGGCCGGGUGUGUAAGCGCAGCGAUGCGUUGAGCUAACCGGUACUAAUGAACCGUGAGGCUUAACCUUACAACGCCGAAG